rnacentral:rRNA from 1 species
UACGGAGGGUGCAAGCGUUAUCCGGAUUCACUGGGUUUAAAGGGUGCGUAGGUGGCUUUGUAAGUCAGUGGUGAAAUGCCGGAGCUUAACUCCGGAACUGCCAUUGAUACUGCUUAGCUUGAAUCACGUCGAGGUGGAUGGAAUAUUACAUGUAGCGGUGAAAUGCGCAGAUAUCAGGAGGAACACCGGUGGCGGAGGCGGUUCUCUGGGCAUGUCCUGACGCUGAGGAGCGAAAGUGUGGGGAGCGAACAGG